rnacentral:rRNA from 1 species
UGGCUCAGAUUGAACGCUGGCGGCAGGCCUAACACAUGCAAGUCGAGCGGAAACGAGUUAUCUGAACCUUCGGGGAACGAUAACGGCGUCGAGCGGCGGACGGGUGAGUAAUGCCUAGGAAAUUGCCCUGAUGUGGGGGAUAACCAUUGGAAACGAUGGCUAAUACCGCAUGAUGCCUACGGGCCAAAGAGGGGGACCUUCGGGCCUCUCGCGCCAGCAUAUGCCUAGGUGGGAUUAGCUAGUUGGUGAGGUAAUGGCUCACCAAGGCGACGAUCCCUAGCUGGUCUGAGAGGAUGAUCAGCCACACUGGAACUGAGACACGGUCCAGACUCCUACGGGAGGCAGCAGUGGGGAAUAUUGCACAAUGGGCGCAAGCCUGAUGCAGCCAUGCCGCGUGUGUGAAGAAGGCCUUCGGGUUGUAAAGCACUUUCAGUCGUGAGGAAGGUAGUGUAGUUAAUAGCUGCAUUAUUUGACGUUAGCGACAGAAGAAGCACCGGCUAACUCCGUGCCAGCAGCCGCGGUAAUACGGAGGGUGCGAGCGUUAAUUUGAAUUACUGGGCGUAAAGCGCAU